UUUCACAUAAUUAUGUACCUGUCUAAAAUAUUCCAAAUGACACUUUUUUUUUUCCAUUUUUGUCUAUUUCUGCUCAUUCAUUGAAGGGGUACUUUAGCCAUUGCAUAGCGCCUGAUACACUCUUCCUUUCACCUGCUUUACUGUAGUGAGCUGGAAUUUGGUUUUAAUGUGUUUUAUAUUUCUCUCCGCUUCUUUCCCCUCUUCUUAGUGGCAGUGGCCGCAAGACAUUGUUUUAGUUACUAAAAAAUUGUACAGCCAGGAAUAUGCCCACUCUUGAGCUAUAGAAUAUGAACAGUCAAACGCUUAAAUUGAAUCAAUGAAUUAAAAGAGUAGGUUCAGGGGUGAACCAAGCAGACAUUUCAAGUGUGGAGGUCCGCUGAUGUGAAGAAACACAUUCCACUGAGUUUACAUGGUAUGGACAUGUGGUAUGGUCAAAACCUGAAGUCAGUGUCUCCUCUCACCCUCUGUUCCUUCCAGAAUGGGCCUUCUGUCCCGGCUAUUGACACUAUGAUGUUGAGAAUCGAUAUAUACACUCUGAAGUUCUGAUUCCCGCACAUUAAGAAAAUUGGAGUUAUUAGAAGACUGAGCACCAUUCUGCGAUUCUGCCAACAUCUGAAAGUAAGCAUGAGGUCCCCAGCCAUCUAUAUCAUAUGGGGGAGGGAAAAAUUGCAAGUAACAAAAUGAAGCAACUGUCAGCCCUAUAAGAGCCCCAGCAAAUACAUCCUGCCAGUGAUGCCAGUAGUCAUCGACUCGAGAAAUUCCUACAAGGGCUGCAACAAGUAAUGGUAGGAAAAUAAUACAAAGCUUUGCAACAUGGCCCCUACGAUCAAAAGCCCUGAUUUUCCCAGAUAAGUACCAUGACAGAAAACCAAGACCUGCAAAGGACCCUGCAUAUCAACGAGCAGAAUUCUUCUUAGCUAACAUCUCAUUAUGGAUGCAAUGAGUUCCUGCACACAAGGAAUAUUUAGCAUACAUGCCCUGAAAGGCCAAAGCAGUGAAAACAAAAGUUUUACUUUUCCUUACAAUUAAUAGGAUUUUUUUUCCUCAAAAACUAUAUGAACUUGUGGAAGUGAGAAGAACUGUUUGCAAUAAAACACAUAAUAUUGAAAAUUUCAAAUUGCUUCCUACUUUAUCAGUUUGUCUAGUUAAGACACUAUCACCAUAUACAAAAAGGAAAUUUAGAAUAGCUUUUAAAAUUCUACAUCGCAUAUAGUCUAAAGGGUGUAAAAAAAACAGCUAUGGACCCUUCUCUUUUCUUUAUUUUUUCUUUUUCCAGGUGGGGGUACCUCUGUUGCCUGCUGGACUAUGCUAAACUGUAUGAGAAAAAACCUAGGCCAUUGAGUCAAUGCAAUCCAACUGCAAACCAAGUGGAUCCUUUGUAUAAAGCAGCAUUCCCUAAGUCAAUCUUCAUCACAGUUUAAUUAUUGGGACAAGAAGCAAUAAAAUAAGGAAAAAUAAUCUAAGACUAUAUAGAAUUGUUACCAACCAGAAUUAAGCACAUUCCAUGAUACAUCCAAGAAGAGUAGUUAAUUUUACUUUAUCUGCUGGAAGUCUGAAACUUUAGUCUAUGAAAUAGAAGCAAAUACUUGUGCAAUAGAGGACAGAAAAAGUUAAACAGCACUCUGCUAUUUCAUAACAACCAGGACAAGUGCUUACUGCUUAUAGAAAGAGGCUAAGAAAAUAUAUGCAAACAGCAAUUUCCCAGAAAAUAUACCAUGAAAUAGAAAAGCAAAAAGCCAUAAAUUAAAUAGGAAACCCCAUAUAUCUCAUAUAAUCAUAAAGUUCUUAUACUUAAUUGGGCUGCUUACAAGAAGUGUGUCCGCUAGGGAAACUUUUGUGCCCUUCCUUGAUGACACUCUUCACCCCCGUACACAUAACAUUGGUUGUGACAUUGUUAAACAACUGGAUAUACGUGCAUGUUGAUUGAGUAAAAAUAUGAGCACAAGUAAGAACUCAGUUAUACAAACUUUGAGCCAAACAAUAUUUCAAAUGAAUAUCAGGCAGUUAAUUAAUUGAGGAACUCACUCCCUUGCCAUCUGGGAAACAACGCCAAAAGAAAUCAGGUCUAGGACGGCCAACAGCAUCUUUAAUUGCAUCAGUUAUAACUCCAGUGAUAAGCACUGAAAAUAGAAGGCCCAGAAUGGCAUGGUGCAGAUCAUAGACAUCCUUUCUGAUAAAGUAAUAGACAACAAUAAUGACAAAAGGCAGCAAUGUUGCAACAACUGGAACAGCCCAAAAGGGAACUGUAUUAUCCUUCAGUGGGUAUGACAGGUCUAUCAUCAUAUCUCUCCCAACAAACCGGUGAAAUGGUUCUAUAACAUUCAAUAUGACAUCUAUCACCGCAAGAAGCAAAAGAAUCAACCAGUCAUGCAUAUGUGUCCUGGCAACUUUGACCCCAUGUGAUCUUACAGUGUGAGCACCCAACUGAAUCUCAGGCAUUUUGUUGGUGAUCUGAAUCCAAAUUAGAAAGUUAGCUGAUGAUAAUAAUACCAAAAUUUGAAGAGCAUGUGUGAACUCAAAAAUCAUACUGACAAAGAAGGUACAAAGUACAGUCAAACGUGCAAAACACACUACAUUGUUGCAAAUAUGAAGGAAGAAAGCAGAGAAAAAAAAAAUGUUACUCAUUAAAUGAUAAAAAAAAAUAGUAGUGAGAAGGUUGCUAGUCAAAACAUAAUAGUCAACAGCAAUGACAUAACAACAAUAAAGCAACUACCAAAUGUCAGCACCAAAACAUUUGCAUUCUGAACUUGUUAAGCAAAAUUAGGAUAAAUCAUUACCAAAUAGGAAUGUGGAAGGUUUAGCAGGGAAAUGUUGGAGUAAGCAUGCAUAUAUAACAGAAUAACAGACAGAACAAGUUUUUGCUAAUUUCUCCUCAUACCCUUCCAAUACAAGAAUAAUUUUCCCUUGAAUACACAAAAUAAGUGCUGAAGUCCAGAAGAAGCAAUGGAAGACACAAUUUAUUGACUGCCUCCAGUAAUGAACAAAACUGUAGCCUAACCAUUUUGGCCCAAGUUAUUAUACCAAACCCCAGCAAAACAUAUGUAUACCAUAGGUUGCCCAAAGAGAAUGGGCACAGCACAACCACAAGCAAUCAUUGCUCAAUUGCAGUCCAAAUCACGGUCGUGCUUGGCUUAACCACAUCAAAUAAGGCUCAAAGGCCAAAGGACAAGGGUUUGCCACAGGGGAGUUUGAUGUGAAACUAUUAAUGUAUGCUGAAUUCCAUUUUAAUUGUUGGGUUGGAGCAAAAACGUAAAGUAGGAUGAAAGUUUCCAAACAACAUAGAACUCUCUUCAAUAGUUUACAACAUAUAUAACAGACACAUGUUAGACAACCCAUGCACUCCCAAAGAGAGAGAG
rnacentral:misc_RNA from 1 species